rnacentral:pre_miRNA from 1 species
CAUCGCCACCAAGUGUACUUCAGUGGACAUAUGUCGUUUUUAAAUCUGAGCACACUUGGUAGCGGUGCC